UUCAACAGCCGCCGAAGCCUCUGUUUAGGUUUUCUACAUCUGUUUGUUUCAUUGUUUAGUUUUUGGUAUAAUUGUUUUUGGCGAAGAUGAUUGAUUGCUUAAUAUUCUGACACCUCUUGUAUGAGAAUGGCCUUCAAAAGCUGUUCCUUGAGCACAUAAAGCACCUCUCUGAGCCUAUUAUUUCUUUUUCUAUCUAAAUGUUUUGAUUAGUGUAUCGAUCAGAAAUUCAGGCAACCACCUUUUGUAAAUUACUCGAAAGGUAGGUGUUAUUCUGCUCGUAAAUCAAUUUCUUUUGCUCUUCAGACUUGUUGAGAUUCAUACUCUAUGAAACCGGUCUAGUAAGCAUUAGUACAUUUUUUCUAUUCGCAAUUAAUAAUUUACAUAUAUUUAGUUUCUGUUUUAGAUAUAUUCAAUUUGAUGUUUUGCUAAUCUUAAGCAAAAAAAUUAAUUAAACCGAACAAUCGGGACAACGACAUAACCCAUAUUAAUCAAUAGCGAAAAUAUGAUUUGUAACAUGCAUCAAUCUUACAAAAAAAAACAUUUAAAAAUAUCAAAUUCUAUUUGUUUAAUUAAAUGUUUAUCGAAGAUAAGGCUCUAUCAUCAGAGUCAACAGCAGGCGUCGAUUUGUUGGCGACUUGACUGCCGCUUAGAGCCUAGAUUAAAUUCCGGAUUAAGACUUUAUGGAAAUUGUUUUUGGUGUUUUCAUGACACAAUAUACCGGAUAAAUUCGUUAGAUUAACAAUUUAAGGUAGAUUCGUGCAGAAAUUGAAAUUUGUUUUGUAAUUUAUGUGUGUUUGUUUAGCAAAUUGAAAUGAAAUAUGAAUGAAAUUGGAAUAUA